rnacentral:tRNA from 1 species
CUUAGCUCAGCUGGUAGAGCAACUGACUUGUAAUCAGUAGGUCGUUGGUUCGAUUCCGACA